CACCUCGAUGUCGGCUCGUCGCAUCCUGGGGCUGGAGUAGGUCCCAAGGGUUGGGCUGUUCGCCCAUUAAAGCGGCACGCGAGCUGGGUUUAGAACGUCGUGAGACAGUUCGGUCUCUAUCCGCCGCGCGCGUUAGAAACUUGAGGAAGGCUGUCCCUAGUACGAGAGGACCGGGACGGACGAACCUCUGGUAUGCCAGUUGUUCCACCAGGAGCACCGCUGGUUAGCUACGUUCGGAAGGGAUAACCGCUGAAAGCAUCUAAGCGGGAAGCCCGUUCCAAGAUAAGGUUUCUCCCACCACAGAGUGGAUAAGGCCCCCCACAGACCAUGGGGUUGAUAGGCCAGAACUGGAAGCCCAGCAAUGGGUGCAGGUGACUGGUACUAAACGGCCGAAGACUUACCACAA
rnacentral:rRNA from 1 species